CGGUGGAGUGGGCGGUGGACGGCGACGGCCGGCUGACGGCCGGCCGCGCCGGCCGGUUCACCCUGGUCCUGGCGA
rnacentral:tRNA from 1 species